rnacentral:rRNA from 1 species
GACAGAGGCCCCAAGCGUUAGGCGGAAUCACUGGGCUUAAAGCGUGUGUAGGCGGAUCGUUAAGUGUCUUGUGAAAUCCCACGGCUCACCCGUGGAACGGCUGGGCAUACUGGCGAUCUUGGGCCAACUAGGGGCAACUGGAACAAGCGGUGGAGCGGUGAAAUGCGUAGAUAUCGCUUGGAACGCCAAAGGUGAAAACAGGUUGCUGGGGUUGUGCCGACGCUGAGACACGAAAGCCAGGGGAGCAAACGGG